AUGGUUCCAGGAUAUGCAAUCAUAAGGAGAAUCGAGAAUUAUUUGCCUUGGAUAAUCUGGGUGAUGUGGGAAAGUGUUAUUAUGAGCAUUUGAAGCCUAGAACCUGUGUUGAGUUUCAUGGUGUUCAACAGCAGUCAAGCUCAUCCGUGAGGGCAGGGGAGGGAGGAGGUCCGGUAGUGGUGCAAGUCGCGCAACCAGCAGAGAGGGUGACAGAAAGAUGCGUUGAUGGCGAGGCAUUAAAGAGCAUUGAUGGCAUUAAAGAGGGUGAAGCGCUGAACGAUAAUUGUGGGGACGUGGAAGGAACGUUACAACCAAAUCAGGUAAACCAAUUAAUCUGGGAUUUUAACAGGGCAUUGAAUGAGUUUGAAACCAAAAAGAAGUCUAUCCAUAUUGGUAACCCUUCAACCCUUCCUUUUACGGAAUUGAUUGGUAAUAAGUCAGAGGAGCAUAUUUGGGAUCUGCCAGGUGGAUUAGUAAUGACUCAUGAGUUUAGGUCGGUUAAUAUGGUCAAUAUUCCAGACAAGGAAGAAAGCGCAACAACAACAAUGAAGGGUAAUGAGCCUGAUCAGUCCUACCAGCCUCCACACCGUGCUAUUUGGAAACCACCUCCAUGGCCGAUCCUGAAGGAGGUGACCUCUGAUGAUGCGAUUUUCCGGGAACAAAAAUCUGUGGAUGUUGUUUUGGAUAUGGGAGGUGGAUUAGUGAUGUUUUGGAGUUCGACUAUUGAUGUAAUUGUGAAGGGUUCGGACACAAAUUAUAUCGAUACAAUGUUUCAAGAAGAAGAUAGGGCAGAGAUUGGAGUGAUCAUCCGAGAAUGCCAAGGAAAAGGCUUGGCACACAUGGUCGGAAUCAUCCCUCUCCCCCUAACUGUAAUAGAGCUUGAAACUUUGACUAUAUCGAAGGCUUUACAGUUUUAUGCUGAUAUGAGUUUGGAAGAUGUCACCCCAGAGGGAGUCUCAGAGAUUGCAAUGAAUGCUUUGAAUGCAGAUUCGCAGUCUUUGGAAUCCUUUGGUUUACUUAGUCGUGGUGUUAAAUGUUUUGCAAGUUUAUUUCAUUGUAAUAGGAUUUCACAUGUUCAUAGAGAAGGAUUGUUGUAUUCUCACAAUAAGAGAAACGACAAUGAGGUUGCUCAUAGUCUGGCUAAAAAUGCAUUAUGCAUACCAGAUUUUCAAGUAUGGAUGGAAGAUGUUUCAUCUCAUAUUGGUUCAAUUUUACAAUUGGAUGUAGUUGAAUUUUAUUAAUAAAAUCCAUCAAUUUCUUUCUCAAAAAAAAAAAAAAAAGUUCAAGAUAUGAAAUAUGAAAUAUAAAAUAUGCAAGCCAACAUAUGAAUCACGGCCGACAAGAAAUUAUAGCUGAAAAGUUUGCCUUUCGAAUUUUGAUCAUGAGCUUUACGGUCCUGUAAUAUAAUAUUUAUCUAUUAUUCACCCUACUUGAUUUUCAUGCUUUAAUUUAGUUAGGCACACUUUUUUUUCCCCUUAUAAAGGUUAGAAAAGUCAGGCACGUGUUUAAAACAAGAAAUAAACUUACAUAAAUAUCAAAUCACUAGGCUGCUCAACUUUGCUUCCAGAAUGGUAUGAUUGAGCUAAAAACUCAAAAGAUAAGAAAAAUGAUUCUUCUUCCUUUAUGGGAGUUCUUCUAGGAAAAGUCCCAUAUUUGACCGUUUUGUUUAUUAGUAGUAGUAGUAGUAACAUUAUUAUUAUUAUUAUUAUUAUUAUUAUUAUUAUUGAGAAACUAAUAGUAGUAACACUAAUCUUUGGUGAGAGGAGAUAAAAAGAAGAUUUGGCGCUCAAGUCAUUAAACAACAUGAAAAGUAUCUCGGUCUACCAUCGCUUCUGGGGAAAAAUAAAAGAAACUCUUUCAAUGACAUAAAGGAGAAGCUUGGAAAUUAAGAAGUUGGCAGAAUGGAAGGAAAAAAAUGCUAUCUAAAGCCGUCUAGGAGAUCCUAAUCAAGGCAGUGGCCCUAGCUACAUCGACCUAUACCAUGAGUUGUUUUAAACUACUGGAAUCUUUUUGCGAGGAGUUGACAAGUAUGAUUAAAAAUUUUUGGUGGGAACAAAGGAAAGAUGAAAAGAAAAUUGCUUGGCUUAGCUGAGAGAAGAUGUGUGAACCAAAGCCUUUUGGGGGUAUGGGUUUCAAGAAUCUAAAGCUCUUUAAUUUGGCACUACUGGCUAAACAGGUAUGGCAACUCCAAGUGAGUCAAGAUUCACAAGUGUAUCGGGAUCUAAAGGCUAAAUACUUCCCAAGGAGUGAUUUUAUACAUGCUUCAAUGAGCAACAAUCCUUCCUACACAUGGCGAAGUAUUAUGGCUACCCAAAACCUAGUUAAAAAAGGUUUAAGAUGGAGAGUAGGCAAUGGUGCGAGUAUUAGUGUUUGGGAGGACAAAUGGUUGCUGGUUUCUUCCACGUAUAGAGUAAUCUCUACAAGGAAUUUUCUGCAUUCAAAUACUCGGGUACAAGAGCUGAUUAAUACUGCCCCUACUAGCUAGAAUUCCACAGUUAUUAAUGCAUUAUUUCUCUCCCAUGAAGCUGAUAUCAUCAAGAGCAUUCCCCUAAGCUCUCGGCUACUUAUUAAUAAGCUUAUAUGGACUAAAACUCAGAAUGGAAUGUUUACUAUGCGAAGUGCUUAUAAUCUGGCCAUGAAUCUAUCUUAUUCUGCCAACCAAUGUAAUAGUUUGGACAAUAGCCUUCUUUGGCAUUUUUGGAAAAAAACUUUGAAGCCUACCGAUCCCACAUAAAAUUCGCCACUUCGGAUGGAGAGCUUGUCGCAAUGCCCUACUUAUAAAGACCAACUUCUUGAAGAGAAAGGUAAUACAAGAGGGUAUCUGUGAAAGUUGUAAGGAGGUAUUGGAGACUGUGGGACAUGUUUUAUGGAGCUACCCGAAAGCUCAAGAGGCAUAGGAGUGUUCAAAAGUGGUGCUAACGCAAAAUUGUGUAGCAAACCUAUCAUUCCAAGAUGUUAUGUGGAACCUGUUAAUGAUCGAAUGAAUAGGAGAUGACCAGGCAGCACUAGUUGUUACCAUUGCUUGGGCUUUGUGGCAUAACUGGAACAAAAUGAGGCAUGGUGGAGAAAGGAAGUCUAGGCAGAACCUAGUUAAGUGGGCAACAGAUUAUCUCAUGGAGUACAGGGCUGUUGUGGAGUCUGUUGGCCUUGUCUUACUAGUGACACAGUGA
rnacentral:sRNA from 1 species